rnacentral:rRNA from 1 species
AUUGAACGCUGGCGGCAUGCCUUACACAUGCAAGUCGAACGGCAGCGGGGGAGAAGCUUGCUUUUCCUGCCGGCGAGUGGCGAACGGGUGAGUAAUACAUCGGAACGUGCCCUGUAGUGGGGGAUAACUAGUCGAAAGAUUAGCUAAUACCGCAUACGACCUGAGGGUGAAAGUGGGGGACGGCAAGGCCUCAUGCUAUAGGAGCGGCCGAUGUCUGAUUAGCUAGUUGGUGGGGUAAAGGCCUACCAAGGCGACGAUCAGUAGCUGGUCUGAGAGGACGAUCAGCCACACUGGGACUGAGACACGGCCAGACUCCUACGGGAGGCAGCAGUGGGGAAUCUUGGACAAUGGGCGAAAGCCUGAUCCAGCAAUGCCGCGUGUGAAGAAGGCCUUCGGGUUGUAAAGCACUUUUGUCCGGAAAGAAAUGGCUCUGGUUAAUACCUGGGGUCGAUGGCGGUACCGGAAGAAUAAGGACCGGCUAACUACGUGCCAGCCGCCGCCGUAA